GUGUAUCCCAAAUGCUGUACAUAUUAUUUUCUACAGGACGGUAUAGGUCACUCGCAUGCAUAACCUUUAAAAAAUCAAACAGCAUUUAUGUCCAGUACUGUACAUAUCUUUAUGAGUUAAGGUGUUCAUUAUAAAAUUCUGUCAAGUUUUUAAACAGACUCAAUAAUUUCUUUUCGUUAAAGAAAUUAAUUAGUUUUAGCCUAUUCAGUAGUCUUAAUAAUCGUAAUUGUUUAAAUCAAAUCGGUAUAAAUCAAUAGCAGCCUGUUAAUGGGAAACUCAUUUUUUAUAUUAACUCGGUUUUAACCUUACUGAAUCUUAUUUACUACUUCAAUUAUAAUAACUGUCACUUAUCUAAAGUCAAUGUUCAUUAAAAUUUAUUUUUAUAUAACAUAAUUUAGACAAUAUUUACGCAUGUUAAAAAAUGAAUCGUCGUGACAAUUUACACUCUCAAGAUGAAAAUUUGUAUCUGAUAAAAAACUGGAAAUCAAUUAUAACCUAUGCUGGGAAUGACUCACUGUUUUCAACUAUACAACAAAAUUUAACGCACAGCAUAUCGUUAGAUGCCAUUGAGUGGCGUAGAUCUUUUGGUCGUCCUACGAAGCAAGUCAAAUUAAAAGUAGAUUUCUCACGAUUUUCAUUUGAAUUGAUUAAAAAUAGGAAGCAAAAUAUUCUGACAGAUCAACCAAUACUUCAUACGUAUUGGACCGAUUGUUCGGAUUUAGAUGCAUAUAAAUUAUCAGUCAAAGAUGAUAUUGAUAAUUGGUUCAAGGCUUUACAACAGUAUGAUAUAAAUGAUUGGAUGAUAAUUGUAGUUGAAACAUAUGAUAUAAGGAAAGCUAACAAACUUAUACCUCGAACGACUGUUCUUGAUAAAAUCCGUAACGAUUUUGGAGCAAAACAUGGUGAUAGAUGCCUAUCUGUUAUUAACACUUCAAAAACUGAGUCUCGUUCAGUUGAGUCAUGGCGAGGGUUAGUAUUACGACUUCAACAUUUCAUGUUAACUGCCUAUGAUAAAUUAUUAUUACAAUUUGAAGAGAUCAUCCGAGAGCAAAGGGAAUGUCGAAAUUUAAAAGACUGGAACUUCUAUGAAUAUUUCCUUCUCCAGGAAGAGCUUGCUUUUCUAUUGGAAACAUUGGAAAUUUAUGAUGAAGCGCUUGUGCAAUAUGAUGAGCUUGAUGCUUUAUUCACACAAUUUAUUCUUAAUUCAGAAGUUGGUGAUACACCGUUAUGGCUUAAUUCUUUUCGAUCACCUCUCAAUUAUUGGACGGGAAUAAUUUUAAAAAGUAAUCACCAUCAUCAUCUUCGAAAACUUAUAUCGGACCACAAAGCAUCUCUUCUAGAUCUUCGGAGUUAUUUAUUCACGAGACAGUGUAUUCUUUUGGUUUUACUUAAUAAACCAUGGGAGAUUGCCCAUCGCUGUUUACCGUUUAUAUAUAAUACGUUAAGUGAAUUUCGAAUCUUGGAUAUACAAACUCCUUAUGGUUCUUUGGAAUGCUGGGCUAUUCUGUGUGUAAUGGAAGUAUUGGAUGUAUGUCAAUUCGAAUAUUCCAAAAUGGAUAGUAGUCAACAUCUGGAUCUCUGUUCAUUAUAUACUGCUGGUUUGUGGAGUCUCGCAACGGAUAAACUUGAGAAACUUGGAAUAUUUUGUGGACUUAUGCCUGGGAAUACACCAACUAGUGAGCAACUUCACACGGUAGUUUAUCUUAAUGCUGGAAUGGGUGAUUCAUAUAGUCAAUGCCCAGAAAAGUGGAGUCCAAUUGAUAAACUUAAAAGAGCAUUGUCUUCAAAAAAUGUGUUUACCCAACAAUAUAUUGAAUAUUCUGAAUUAGCAAUGGGAACGUAUAAACACAUCGGCCGUUUAAGAUCAGCGAAAUAUAUAGGAAUAAAAUUAGCUAAAUUUCAUAGCCACAUGGAGGAAGAUCAAAUUGCUGCUACUUUUUUACUGGAGGCAUUAAAAACAUACAUAGACGAAGGUUGGAAACAAUUAGCGGUCGAAACUCAAUUACAACUUGGCCUUUCAUAUAAAAAGUUAGGUGAUAUAGAAAAAUAUAUAAAAGUCAGUAGUUCGAUUGCUAGUACAACAAUAUUAGAUUUGGAAAUACGCAAAACCUACCAUCAAGAAAUUUUGAAGUAUUUAAAAAUGUUAUCGUCAUCGCAGACCAUACCUAUUGAACUAAAAGAAGCAUUCAAUAUUCAUCGGAUUGAAGUGAAAGUAAACAAUAAAGCGACUGAAAAUUGUACAGUUGAAAUAUAUGUGGUAGUAGAAUGCCGAUUACCUUAUACGAUAAAGGAAGCUCGUGUAGUAAUGUUUGUUCAUGAAGUUAUCGAAAAUUCGAGGUAUGAAGGGAAAAAACUUUUACUGGAUUCAUUACCCAAAUCAUCCUGUGAAGCGUCCUUCAACCACAUUUAUAGUCCUAAUUUGAAAGAAAAUGAUUCAGAAGUAGUUUCAUAUCUCAAUCAUCAAGAAGAUAAAUCCAUAAGGUCUGUUGGAAUUAUCAACAAAAGAAUAAAACAAUCAACAACUUUUCAUAGCCGAUUCAAAGAUAACCAAAAAAUAUCUGAUGAUAGAACAAUAUCUGAAAAAGUUCAUAUUUCUAAAAAUUUGAUUCUCAAGCCAGGCCUGAAUGAUUUUGUAAUAAGUGAAAAAGUGAACCAUUCUGGACUUUAUAAAAUUAAUGGGAUAUCAAUAGUUCUUUUUAACGUAUUAGAGUAUCAAUUACAGUCACUUGAUCCAGAAUUAGUAUAUAAUAUUACAAAAACUCAUCCAGUUAUUACUUUAAAUAGCAAAAAUCUUUUUGCUGGACUAAUGCAAGAUGUCGAAUUAAUUAUUCAGAAUGGGAGCGAUAAGAUUCUAAAACAUACUACAUUGAAUGUAUGGACUACGAAAGGUGUAAAAAUAACAUUACCUGACAAAGCUAAAACUAUUUCUGAUCGAUUGGAAAUAUUAUUAUCAGAUUAUGAACCAUUUAAAAAAGACAAAAUUGCCUUCGGCCUCUUUGCACAAAUUCCAAUGAAAAAGGAUUCACAAUCGCUACAACAUCAGUUAUUCAUUCAAUUAUCAUGGGGUCCAGAGAUAAAAAUACCUUUGAAUUUUGAGCUUCCAUUGAUAUCUCAGUUAAAAGUUUACACUAUUGGGAAAAAGAAAUAUUUGCAAAUCGCAGUCACUGGAGUAACCAAUUUUUUUUUACAAUUGUUCGAACCAAAAUUAUCGACCAAUGCAUUGACAAAAAUAUCUCUAAAAAGUCUUAACAUAGCUACUCCUCAGAAACAGAUUAUCAGGACUGGAAUAAAAAAUUUUUACAUGUGGGAAUUAGAGUCAUAUGAACACCAAGAUCCGUCACAACCAAUUCAAAUCAAUUUUUAUGUAAAAUACUCUCCUGUCCAAGGCAUCGAAGGAAUAAGAGGGCUUGACAUCUAUGAUGAUCCUCUUCAUAUUAAAAAACACAGCAAUAUGGAAAAUUUGAUAAAUACAUACCAGUAUAGUUUCGAACUAUCGAAUUUCAAUACUUUAUUCAUGAUAUUAUCGAAAAUUGAAACUAGUGGAAAUGGAGGUGAUUUCUGUCGAGCCGGUAGUAUUUGCCACUUAUGUGUGAUAAUAAAGCGCAUGGUUUCUCUGUCUAAUUUUACUUAUCUACCACAAUUAAUGUAUGAAGUUUUAACUGAUCACUCUAUGUGGGCAGUAUGUGGUCGUACUGCCGGAAUUCUCACACUUAAUGAUACUGAUGAACAGAGCGUAACAUUAGAUGUUAUGCCAUUAAAAAGUGGUUAUUUACCAUUGCCAAUAGUACGUUUGUCUCGCUAUAUUGCAGCUAUUGAACCAAAAAGCGACCCAUUUAAACAUGUAGAAUGCAGUGGACCAAAACUGGAACCCUUUAAUGUUGGUCAAGUGUAUAAUGCAAGUAAAUCACAACAAAUCUACGUAUUACCAGCUGCAUCAAUUGAGUUUUAUUGAAGCUACAUUUGUGUAAAAAAAUGUUGAUAUAUUUUACGCUGUAAACGAGACAGCAGAAUAAGAUGAAGCAUGUUACAAAGAAUGCAGAUACAGAAAGGAUGAAACAAUGCCUAAAUUUACAAUGCAAAUAGCUACAUAGAGUUUGAAUGAUAAACAAUUAAUCAGUUUAUAAUAUGAGUGUUGGAAUAUCUAAUUUUGACGAAGUUCUUGGCAGUUACUACCUCAAAGUAAGUUGCUCGUGGUUCAGUCAGUACAGUCAGAGAAUACUAUUAAAUAUCAUUAUUGCUUUAUUCAUAAUAUAUGAAAUUGAAAAAAUUUCGUUGCACAAAAAUUGAGUAAAAAAAGAGUUUCAUGGAGUAAUGAUGUAUGGUUUUUUUUAUCAAGUUGGUGAUCAAAGUUUUUUAUUGCUAUGAAGUUCUCUCACUAACAGAUUAUAAAGUUGGUAACAAGUUAUUCUUGCUUAAGCAUAAAUAUACAAAUAAUAAAAGUAUUUUUUAAAUAAAUUUAUAUUUUUUUAAUAGUAAUUUGUAAUUGAUAUGUACAAAAUAUCGUGAAAUUUCAUCAAAAGCAGCCUCCUCUUUCUGGGCUGUACAAAAAUGUGCACCCAGCAUAAAUGAUGACAAUGAUAGAACUACAAAAAGUCUUCAAAUUAUUAAACGCCAAUUAUUUAAGUUCAAGAAUCAACAAUAGUUGAAAAUGUCGAAUCAAUAAUUACCGAUAGGCCCUUUUGUCAUUGAGCGUGAUUGAGCCACAAUACUUUAUAAGAUUACAUUGUAUAAAUAAUAACUAAAUAAAACAUUAACUCGGAGUCUUCAAGAAACGCCACUGUCGACAUCGAGACAUUAUAGACUCAUUAUUGUUUAACAAAUUAAAUUAAAAACUGUAUUCACCGUUAAUUGAUCUCUGAUUAUUGUUAAUUUAUUCUAAUGUUGAAACUGUUUGUAUUACGUUACUACAACCAGCGGAACAAAGACGUACGCUGAGAAAUUUUACAUGAGAAAUGAUCGUAAAACUGUUUAUCCUAAUAGUUAAGCUGCGUGCAAGAAAACUUUGUAAGAUUUUGUCAUGAACGGCUGCCUCGUAAAAUACCUUAUAAUUCAAAUAAAUAAAAAAGUAAUAUCAGUGCUCUGCAGUGGUCUGGGUGCGACCCGAAAGGUCCACAUGACCAACUUCCCAGUGGUAAAAAUAAAAAAAAAAUUAUGCGUU
rnacentral:misc_RNA from 1 species